rnacentral:sRNA from 1 species
GAAUUGAACUUAUGCCAGAAAGAAAAGGAGAGACUGAGUGAUGAACUCCUUGUAAAAUCAGACCUAGAAACUGUUGUUCAUCAGCUUGAACAAGAAAAGCAAAGACUUAGCAAAAAAGUUGAAAGUUUUGCAGUUACAGAACGACAACUUACUCUGGAAGUUGAGAGGAUGAGACUAGAACAUGGAAUAAAACGUCGAGACAAGUCACCUUCUCGUUUAGAUACAUUUCUGAAAGGUAUAGAAGAAGAACGAGAUUAUUAUAAGAAAGAGCUAGAGAGACUCCAACAUAUAAUACAGCGAAGAUCUUGCUCUACAAGUUAUAGUGCACGUGAAAAAAGUUCAAUAUUUAGAACACCAGAAAAGGGUGAUUACAAUUCAGAAAUUCAUCAGAUCACAAGAGAAAGAGAUGAACUUCAGCGUAUGCUAGAAAGAUUUGAAAAAUAUAUGGAGGAUAUACAGUCCAAUGUUAAAUUAUUGACAGCAGAAAGAGAUAAACUAAGUGUCUUAUAUAAUGAAGCUCAGGAAGAAUUAUCUGCCCUAAGAAAGGAAUCCACCCAAACCACAGCACCCCAUAAUAUUGUUAGUCUUAUGGAAAAGGAAAAAGAACUUGCGUUAUCUGACUUAAGAAGAAUUAUGGCAGAAAAGGAAGCUUUAAGAGAAAAAUUAGAGCAUAUUGAAGAAAUGAGUCUUUUUGGAAAAUCAGAAUUAGAGAAAACUAUUGAACAUUUGACAUGUGUUAAUCAUCAGCUUGAAAGCGAAAAAUAUGAAUUAAAGUCUAAAGUGUUAAUAAUGAAAGAAACAAUAGAGUCAUUAGAGAACAAAUUAAAAGUCCAAGCUCAAAAAUUUAGCCAUGUGGCUGGUGACUCAUCUCAUCAGAAAACAGAGGUGAACUCACUUAGGAUAGUAAAUGAGCAGCUACAGCGGUCAGUUGAUGACUAUCAGCACCGACUUUCCAUAAAAAGAGGUGAACUUGAAUCAGCCCAAACACAAAUUAAAAUACUGGAGGAAAAGAUAGGUAAAUGUUUUAAAAUUUUGUUUCUGCUAAUCCUAAUGUACUUUGUCUAACAAACAUUUCUUUUCAUUUGUAGAUGAACUAAACCUUAAGAUGACUUCACAGGAUGAGGAGGCUCAUGUAAUGAAAAAGACUAUUGGUGUUAUUGAUAAAGAAAAAGACUUUCUCCAGGAGACUGUAGAUGAGAAGACAGAAAAGAUUGCAAAUUUGCAAGAAAACCUAGCAAAUAAAGAAAAAGCUGUUGCUCAAAUGAAGCUAAUGAUCUCAGAGUGUGAAUCAUCUGUGAACCAGCUGAAAGAAACAUUGGUUAAUCGAGAUCGUGAGAUAAACAGCCUCCGGCGCCAGCUUGAUGCAGCUCACAAAGAACUCGAUGAAGUAGGAAGAUCUAGAGAAAUCGCUUUUAAGGAAAACAGAAGACUGCAAGAUGACCUGGCUACAAUGGCAAGAGAAAACCAAGAAAUCUCAUUGGAAUUGGAAGCAGCAGUGCAAGAAAAAGAGGAAAUGAAGAGCAGAGUUCAUAAAUACAUAACAGAGGUGUCACGAUGGGAGAGCUUAAUGGCUGCCAAGGAAAAAGAAAAUCAAGAUUUGUUAGAUAGAUUUCAGAUGCUUCAUAACCGUGCUGAAGACUGGGAGGUCAAAGCCCAUCAAGCUGAGGGAGAAAGCAGCUCAGUUCGACUGGAACUUCUUUCUAUUGACACUGAGAGGAGACAUCUUCGAGAAAGAGUGGAGCUAUUAGAAAAAGAAAUUCAAGAGCACAUAAAUGCCCAUCAUGCUUAUGAAUCUCAGAUCUCAUCAAUGGCAAAAGCCAUGUCUCGAUUAGAAGAAGAGCUGAGACAUCAAGAAGAUGAGAAAGCAACAGUAUUAAAUGACUUGUCAUCUCUUAGAGAACUUUGCAUUAAACUUGAUUCAGGCAAAGAUAUCAUGACCCAGCAAUUGAAUUCGAAAAACCUUGAGUUUGAGAGGGUUGUGGUAGAAUUAGAAAAUGUAAAGUCAGAGUCAGACCUACUGAAAAAACAACUGUCAAAUGAGAGACAUACAGUUAAAAACCUCGAAUCAUUGUUGGCUACAAACAGAGAUAAAGAAUUUCAUUCUCACUUAACCUCCCAUGAGAAGGAUACAGAAAUCCAGCUACUUAAGGAGAAGUUAACCCUUUCCGAAAGCAAAUUAACUAGUCAAAGCCGGGAAAACACCAUGCUUCGAGCUAAAGUGGCACAGUUACAAACAGAUUAUGAUGCUCUGAAAAGGCAGAUCUCAACUGAAAGAUACGAACGAGAACGAGCAAUCCAAGAGAUGCGUCGACAUGGUCUUCCUACACCACCCCUUAGUUCCACUCUGAGGUCUCCUUCACAUUCUCCUGAACAUAUAAAUGUAUAAUUAUCAGAAAGAAUAAUGGCUUUCAAUGAGUUCCUACGUGGAUUUUUAAAAGAACAGAACAGUAAUGAAAUAUUUGAAGUACUUGUUGCUGAAAAUCAUGAACAUGGACACAAAUUCUACCUCUGUCAACUUUUAUUUAAAUCAGUGAAUAUGUUAAAAAGUUUGGUUUAAAAGAACUAUAUCUGUAUGUAUAUUUUCACAUAUAUGACAGAACAAGAAUAUGUAUUAAUAGUGCCUAAUGUAUCUAUAUUUUUAUUAUUCAUGAAUUAAAUUACUAAAAGUAUGUUUAUACUGUGAAUUAAUAUAAUGUAUUCACAUUAUUCUUUAAUCUGUUUAUUAAUAAGCCAUGAUAUAUGUAUGUAAAUAUUCUUACAGUACUUGUUUUUAGUUGUCAUGCGUAUGUUUAGACCAUAUCUUAAUGUAUUCACAAAGAAUUAUCAACUUUGAUGCUAUGCUGUCAUGCUUAACUUUUUCUUCUUAAAAUUAUUCAUAGAUCUACUGUCUGUUGUCAAGGGGAGUAUAUUCAGGUCUAGUCUUCUUAUAAUAGCAGAGGUCUUGGUAAAAUAACUACCAUAUAUAAUGUGUUAUUGCCAUCUAGAAGAACUAUGAUGAGAAAGAUACAUUUAUAUAUUAUGUAAAAUUUUAACUAUUAUCACAUGGACUCUAUGUAACACAAAUUCUAUCAAAAGCAAACUAAAAGCUAUAUGCAGAAUUUUGUAUAAAACAAUAGAACAGAAAUUUGGGACAUUUUUCUAGGAAAUAAAAUUCCUCAGUGUAUUAAUCUAAGGUUUCAAAGUAUAAAAGUAUAUGGGGUAGGCCGGGUGCAGUGGCUCACGCCUGUAAUCCCAGCACUUCGGGUCGCCGAGGCGAGUGGAUUUCCUAAGGUCAGGAGUUUGAGACCAGCCUGAGCAAUGUGGUGAAACCCCGUCUCUACUAAAAAUACAAAAAUUAUCUGGGCUUGGUGGUGGGCACCUGUCAUCCCAGCUACUUGGGAGGCUGAAGCAGGAGAAUCGCUUGAACCCGGGAGGUGGAGGUUGCGGUGAGCCAAGAUCAUGCCAUUGCACUCCAGCCUGGGUGACGGAGUAACACUCUGUCUCAGAAAAAAAAAAAAGAAAAAAGUAUAUGGGCUAAAUACAGUAAAACAUUUUGUUAAAUUCCAAUAUACAUUCAGUGAUACCACUCUUUUUCUUCUAAGCCUGUGUGUUAUAAUUUACCAGUUCCCCAAAAUGCCAUUUUUAACGCCGAACUGUGUAAUAUAUAUGGAAAACAGCUUUUUACAGUUAAUUUUCAAAGUUGUAAUUUUAAAGAAUUUGGGUGUAUACCUAUGUUAAUGAAACAACAGAAGUACCAAAAGGAAUGUCAGAUACAAAAAUCAAUCAUGAAGAAAAUCUGUUCUUAAUAUAUUGCAUUAUGAUUGAAAAACAUAAAAACUAACAUAGGAAAGUGAAUGAUCAGUUACUUAUGAUAUAUUUUGUUUCCUCUUGUGGUUUAAUAAAGUGAAGUGUGUGUGUGUGUGUGUGUGUGUAUACCUGGGGGUGGGCAGUGCUCUUUUUCUAAAACUAAUAUGGCUUAUAUAUCUGAAUUAUGCCCUUUUUAGUGUGUAUUAGGAUGUGGGCUGGUUUGCUUUUCUACCACCUUUGUAAUUUUAUGUAUUCCAUCUCCUUUGUGUGAAUUCAUAUAUUAUAGCAAAAUACAAGAGACGUGGGACUGUUUGCAAUACCAUAUGGAAAUCUUUUAAUAAAUAUAUGUAAAUAAAAU